UGGCCGUGUUUGCAGAAACCCUGUAUCCUAACACCCCGUGGCGCCUGUUUGCUGUUUUGAGCCUGGCAGUUGCCGAGGGAUUUGAGAGGCCGGAAUCGCGGAGACGCGGUUGGGUUCGCUAGGUGGAAAGCCGUCUCUUCCGCUCGCAGCCUGAGGGGCGCCGAAGGCUCACACCACUAGUCAUGGACUGCAGUCUGGACAGGAUGGCCUCGGUGGUCCCUGGACAGUUUGACGACGCGGAUUCCUCAGACAGUGAAAACAAAGAAGUGCAGUCAAUUCAUGCAGGAGAAGAUGGCAUUCUACUUAAAAACCUUGAGAAUGAUGCAGCAGAGAUGAAGGGCGAAGAUGAGAUUAAUGAGGAAGAUGACUAUGAUUAUGACUCUGACUGGUACUUGGACGAUGGGACUGGAAAACUCACCAAGGGUUGUACCUGGAAUGGCAGCAGUAACUACCAGGCAAAUCGGCAGACUUCUAACUACAAUUCAGCCAAAAUGUCUACUCCAGUUGACAAGUCGUUGCAAAGAUUUGAAAAUAAAAUCAAUCUAAAUAAGCUGAAUGUUACUGAUUCUGUCAUAAAUAAAGUCACCGUAAAAUUGAGACAGAAAGAAGCAGAAUCGUAUCGUAUUAAAGAUAAGGCCGACAGAGCAACUGUAGAACAGGUUUUGGAUCCCAGAACAAGGAUGAUUUUAUUCAAGUUGUUGCAUAAAGACCACAUAUCAGAGAUACAUGGCUGCAUAAGCACUGGAAAAGAAGCUAAUGUAUACUAUGCUAGCACAUCCAGUGGAGAGAGCAGAGCAAUCAAAAUAUACAAAACUUCUAUUUUGAUGUUCAAAGAUCGUGAUAAGUAUGUGACUGGGGAAUUCAGGUUCCGCCGUGGCUAUUGUAAAGGAAACCCUAGAAAAAUGGUGAAGACAUGGGCAGAGAAGGAGAUGAGGAAUUUGCGCAGGCUACAAACAGCCAACAUACCAUGUCCAGAACCAAUCAGGCUAAGAAGUCAUGUUCUUCUCAUGGGCUUUAUUGGCAAGGAUGACAUGCCUGCACCACUCUUGAAAAACGUCCAGCUGUCAGAGUCCAAGGCACGGGAGUUGUACCUGCAGGUCAUUCAGUACAUGAGGAAAAUGUAUCAGGAUGCUAGACUUGUCCAUGCAGAUCUCAGUGAAUUCAACAUGCUGUACCAUGGUGGAGAUGUGUACAUCAUUGAUGUUUCCCAGUCUGUGGAGCAUGACCACCCACAUGCAUUGGAGUUCUUGAGAAAAGACUGUGCCAAUGUCAAUGAUUUCUUUUUCAAGCAUGCCGUUGCUGUGAUGACUGUGCGGGAGCUCUUCGAGUUCGUCACAGAUCCCUCCGUCACCGCUGACAACAUGGACGCUUACCUGGAAAAGGCUAUGGAAAUAGCAUCCCAAAGGACCAAGGAAGAAAAGACUAGCCAAGAUCAUGUGGAUGAAGAGGUGUUCAAACAAGCGUAUAUUCCCAGGACCUUAAAUGAAGUAAAGACUUAUGAGAGGGACGUGGACAUAAUGGUGAGGUUAAAGGAAGAAGACAUGGCUUUGAGUGCUCAGCAAGACAAUAUUCUAUACCAGACUGUCACAGGAUUGAAAAAAGAUUUGUCAGGAGUCCAGAAGGUCCCUGCACUCCUAGAAAGUGAAGUUAAGGAAGAGACUUGUUUUGGUUCAGACGAUGCUGGGAGCUCUGAGUGCUCUGACACAUACUCAGAAGAGCAGGAAGAUCAAGCCGGAUGCAGAAACCAUCUUGCUGACCCUGACAUCGAUAAAAAGGAAAGAAAAAAGAUGGUCAAAGAAGCCCAGAGAGAGAAGAGAAAAAAUAAAAUCCCUAAACAUGUAAAAAAAAGAAAGGAAAAAACAGCCAAGGCCAAAAAAGGCAAAUAGAAUGGAGCCAUCCCUCAGCUACUUCUUAACCCUGAAGUAGAAGUUCCUGGAGGACAUUCUUUACCGUCUCACUGUCAGGGGGAGGCUGGGGGUGGUCAUAUGAUUGCUUCAAAAACCUUGCGCCUAUUAUGUCAGGAUCCAUUCCUGGCUCUGCUUUUAAAUGGACUUAUUAAGGUACUAUUUUAAUGAAGAACUUUGUAUAUUUUAUUUUUAUAUUUUUAUCUUGCAAACAUUUUUUCAGAAGUAUCAGAACACAAAUGUUUAUGACGAGCAUCCACAGCCUUUAUAAAGCCACAAGAAACUGAAAACAUGCCCCGUGCUUCAAGAAAUUCAGACUCCAGUUACUGGCAAAACUAGGAAGCUUGUAUGCUCAAAAGUGUGGAUCACAUUUUCAGUUUUAUCUUCAUCUUAAAACAUAAUGUUUUCCAGUCAUGGUGACACACUACUUUAAUACCAACAGCUGGGGAGGCAGAGUCGGGUGAGUCUCUGUGUUUGAGACCAGACUGGUCUACAUAGUAAGUUCUGGCCAGCCAGGGCUACAUAGUGAAACCUUAUCUCUAAAUAAGAAAGGCCUGUCUUCUCCACCUGAUUUAGUAUUGUCCCUGUGUGUUCCUGAGCACCUGCAGGCUUUCUCAUUCUUCCUCUGUGUUAUUUUUCUAUAGCCCUACCAGUGACAGUAACCUUCAGAUCGACUUUAUUUAUGUAUAUUGAUUGUUUUGUCAACCUCCAACUUCAGAAUGUAAGCUCCAGAAGGACAGGGAUUUGUAUUGUUUUGUAUCCCAGCACCUGACUUGUGCUGAGAUUUAGUCAACUCGGUAAAAUGUUCUGUUUCCUGAGCAAAGACGAGGAUAUCACGUGUGCCUUUUAUUUAUAAGAAUGGAAAUACAGAAUUUAUGUGGGUCA